rnacentral:lncRNA from 1 species
UGGAAAUUGAGACAUGUGUUGGGAUUGUGAUUGGGAUACCCAAACAAGGUCCCUCGUUAGAAGAGCAAUUACUCAUUGUAGCUCUGAACAUGACUUCAAAGAUGAGAUACGUCGCAUCAAAGCUGCAGCACAAAAACAUGGUUAUAACAAUAAAUUGGUGACUAAAACUUUAAAUGAAUUAAAGUCCACAAACCAGAAUACCCACAACACCAGAACCACCAACGCCAACCAAAUAGAACGAGAUCAGGCACGAGAAGAAUAAAAAAGUUACACAAUAAUACCCGAAUCAUUAAGAGACUCCACAAUGGUCGAGGCAUUAUUAGAAAAAAAAAAAAAAAAAACAAAAC